UACGGGGGGGGCAAGCGUUGUUCGGAAUUACUGGGCGUAAAGGGCUCGUAGGCGGCCAACUAAGUCAGACGUGAAAUCCCCAGGCUCAACCUGGGAACUGCGUCUGAUACUGGAUGGCUUGAAUCCGGGAGAGGGAUGCAGAAUUCCAGGUGUAGCGGUGAAAUGCGUAGAUAUCUGGAGGAAUACCGGUGGCGAAGGCGGCAUCCUGGACCGAUACUGACGCUGAGGAGCGAAAGCCAGGGGAGCAAACGGG
rnacentral:rRNA from 1 species